rnacentral:rRNA from 1 species
UACGUAGGGGGGCAAGCGUUGUCCGGAUUCACUGGGCGUAAAGCGCGCGCAGGCGGUUUCUCACGUCCGGGGUGAAAGCCCCAGAGCUCAACUCUGGGAUUGCCUUGGAUACGGGGAGACUUGAGGAUCGGAGAGGCAAGGGGAAUUCCACGUGUAGCGGUGAAAUGCGUAGAGAUGUGGAGGAACACCUGUGGCGAAGGCGCCUUGCUGGCCGAUUUCUGACGCUGGAGGC